ensembl:ncRNA C16E9.11 ncRNA
AAAAGAGACAAGUUAGAGCUAGGGUAAGUUGGCCCCGGGUAGAAAAAAAGUGUGGGUUGAGCCUUUGUGGGGCCACUGGAGGUAUACGUCGCCGUGGUGAGGUUGGCGCACACAAGAAAGUUGACUGCAUUGAGUCGUCCGGUUCUCCGGAAUGCGCAUGCAUGAGCUGUCAAGGAGAAAAUCCACAUUUUCCACACAACCAAGCAUCCGCUAGGGCGUUAGAGCUCUCUUUAUUAAUUACUUAGUUGGCACGUGUC